AACGAACGCUGGCGGCGUGCCUAACACAUGCAAGUCGAGCGAGAAAGUCUUCGGACGAGUAAAGCGGCGGACGGGUGAGUAAUACCUAGGUAAUCUACCUUUUGGUGCGGAAUAACUAUGCGAAAGCGUAGCUAAUACCGCAUGUGGUUUCAGAUCGUUGGAUCUGAAAAAGAAGGGGGGUCUAAGAUCUCUCGCCAGAUGAUGAGCCUGGGCCCGAUUAGCUAGUU
rnacentral:rRNA from 1 species